GGUGAAGAACGUAGUGAAAUGCGAUAAGUAGUGUGAAUUGCAGAAUUCAGUGAAUCAUCGAAUCUUUGAACGCACAUUGCGCCCCUUGGUAUUCCAUGGGGCAUGCCUGUUCGAGCGUCAUUUGUACCUUCAAGCUUUGCUUGGUGUUGGGUGUUUGUCUCGCCUUUGCGUGUAGACUCGCCUUAAAAUAAUUGGCAGCCGGCGUAUUGAUUUCGGAGCGCAGUACAUCUCGCGCUUUGCACUCAUAACGACAGCGUCCAAAAGUACAUUUUACACUCUUGACCUCGGAUCAGGUAGGGAUACCCGCUGAACUUAAGCAUAUCAUAAGCGGAGGA
rnacentral:misc_RNA from 1 species